UUAAUUGAAACCAAAGUAGAGGUAGCUUAUUGUUGAUAAGAAAAUUGAAUUUUAUUCCAAUUAAA
rnacentral:tRNA from 1 species